GUUUGCUCCAAUCAGCUAGCUUAAGUUGAAAAUGGGUCAAAGUUCAUCAUUUUCUUUGAAGGAACUAGAUCUGGAAUGAGUAUUCAUCUCAAAAUCAGAGUUAGAAAUACAGAUCAGGAUGAUAUUAGGCUUCACCAGUAUGAAUCUUGUUUCUAAGCUUCUCCAGUGAUUUCAAAGGACGGUGAUGGUGGUGCUUCAGCUUUGUCCACGAGUUUUGAUGGGAUUGUAAUUUUUGUUUUAUUUUUAAGAAAUUGAAUUUUAUUUCCGUAAUUUUGUUUUGAUGGAGAUUGUAUUUUAUAUUAUUCCCUUAAAAAAUAAAAAGUGAAAUUGUAAUUUA